UACGUAGGUGACAAGCGUUGUCCGGAUUUACUGGGCGUAAAGAGCGCGCAGGCGGUCGAUCAAGUCGAGUGUGAAAGCCCCCGGCUCAACUGGGGAGGGUCGUUCGAUACUAGAUCGACUCGAAGGCAGGAGAGGGUAGUGGAAUUCCCGGUGUAGUGGUGAAAUGCGCAGAUAUCGGGAGGAACACCAAUUGCGAAGGCAGCUCGCUGGGACGUUACUGACGCUGAGACGCGAAAGCGUGGGGAGCAACAGG
rnacentral:rRNA from 1 species